UGUUCUAUGGCCGAACUGGUAAAGGCAUUGCCGAUCACAGGCAAGGCAAGGUUGCGGGUUCGAGUCCCGCUGGAACAG
rnacentral:tRNA from 1 species